GUUGGAGUCUGGCUGGAGAAUCCAAUGAGCUGCUUGUCAGGGAGGCCCAAACCAUGUGUGAGCCGGACCAGGGGUGUUUGAGGCUGUCGACAGCGUAGCAUCCCAGAUGACUGCUAUGGCUGAUUCCACACACAGAAUCAAGAUUAACAUUGGCUAAAACUUCCAAAUGGCUUGCCAAAGUCACUAGAUAUCUUCACUGCAAGAUGAAGACAACCUUUAGGUUAAAGGGCAACCUGUCACUUCAAUACAUGGACCAAGAGUUUGGCAAUUACUUUUUAAUCUCAACUCUACCACUGAAUUUCAGGGACAAGUAGGAGGCCAAAGGGGUUAGUUGACGUGUAAAAUGUUUGCCCUACCUCUGUGGAUUGCCCGUGAGAAAUUGCGUAACCCGGUUUUAUAAAUUGUGGCAGAUAAUUUUUUUAAAUAUUGUCAUUUACUCAUUAUGCGUUGUGCAAGAAACCUGGUGGAGACCGUGGAGCCAUGAGUGCAAACAAAAGAGUCUUGUAAGACACAACUGCAAUUGCUGAUUAUGGGCGGUCGACCUCAACUGACAGAACCGUCCAGGUCAAAGGAGGCUCAUGGAUCUUGGCGGGAAGAUGGGCGAAGCCUGGGUUCUUAAAGGACGGUCCAGAGAAGACAACAGGCUCCUGCCUUGGAUGCCCAGAAGUGGUCAAGCAGUUUCAGCCUCCUGUGACGGUGGAAAUUACCAGCAGCCUUUAGUGAUUUGAGUGAACGGACGGUCCAGAGAAGAAUUCCGCCUCAGGCUGGCCAAGUGACUUCAGCCUCCUGUGAAAAUUGCCAACUGAAUGAGAGGACGAUUCAGAGAACACAACAGGCUCCUGCUUCAGGGUCAAGCAGCUUUAGCCUCCUGUGGAAAUUGCCUUGUGCUCCUGCCAACUUGGCGAUUUGAGUAACAGG
ensembl:lncRNA